GAUGAACGCUGGCGGCGUGCCUAAUACAUGCAAGUCGAGCGAACGGACGAGAAGCUUGCUUCUCUGAUGUUAGCGGCGGACGGGUGAGUAACACGUGGAUAACCUACCUAUAAGACUGGGAUAACUUCGGGAAACCGGAGCUAAUACCGGAUAAUAUUUUGAACCGCAUGGUUCAAAAGUGAAAGACGGUCUUGCUGUCACUUAUAGAUGGAUCCGCGCUGCAUUAGCUAGUUGGUAAGGUAACGGCUUACCAAGGCAACGAUGCAUAGCCGACCUGAGAGGGUGAUCGGCCACACUGGAACUGAGACACGGUCCAGACUCCUACGGGAGGCAGCAGUAGGGAAUCUUCCGCAAUGGGCGAAAGCCUGACGGAGCAACGCCGCGUGAGUGAUGAAGGUCUUCGGAUCGUAAAACUCUGUUAUUAGGGAAGAACAUAUGUGUAAGUAACUGUGCACAUCUUGACGGUACCUAAUCAGAAAGCCACGGCUAACUACGUGCCAGCAGCCGCGGUAAUACGUAGGUGGCAAGCGUUAUCCGGAAUUAUUGGGCGUAAAGCGCGCGUAGGCGGUUUUUUAAGUCUGAUGUGAAAGCCCACGGCUCAACCGUGGAGAGUCAUUGGAAACUGGAAAACUUGAGUGCAGAAGAGGAAAGUGGAAUUCCAUGUGUAGCGGUGAAAUGCGCAGAGAUAUGGAGGAACACCAGUGGCGAAGGCGACUUUCUGGUCUGUAACUGACGCUGAUGUGCGAAAGCGUGGGGAUCAAACAGGAUUAGAUACCCUGGUAGUCCACGCCGUAAACGAUGAGUGCUAAGUGUUAGGGGGUUUCCGCCCCUUAGUGCUGCAGCUAACGCAUUAAGCACUCCGCCUGGGGAGUACGACCGCAAGGUUGAAACUCAAAGGAAUUGACGGGGGCCCGCACAAGCGGUGGAGCAUGUGGUUUAAUUCGAAGCAACGCGAAGAACCUUACCAAAUCUUGACAUCCUUUGACAACUCUAGAGAUAGAGCUUUCCCCUUCGGGGGACAAAGUGACAGGUGGUGCAUGGUUGUCGUCAGCCCGUGUCGUGAGAUGUUGGGUUAAGUCCCGCAACGAGCGCAACCCUUAAGCUUAGUUGCCAUCAUUAAGUUGGGCACUCUAAGUUGACUGCCGGUGACAAACCGGAGGAAGGUGGGGAUGACGUCAAAUCAUCAUGCCCCUUAUGAUUUGGGCUACACACGUGCUACAAUGGACAAUACAAAGGGCAGCGAAACCGUGAGGUCAAGCAAAUCCCAUAAAGUUGUUCUCAGUUCGGAUUGUAGUCUGCAACUCGACUACAUGAAGCUGGAAUCGCUAGUAAUCGUAGAUCAGCAUGCCACGGUGAAUACGUUCCCGGGUCU
rnacentral:rRNA from 1 species